rnacentral:rRNA from 1 species
UACGAAGGGGGCUAGCGUUGCUCGGAAUCACUGGGCGUAAAGCGCACGUAGGCGGAUUGUUAAGUCAGGGGUGAAAUCCUGGAGCUCAACUCCAGAACUGCCUUUGAUACUGGCGAUCUUGAGUCCGGGAGAGGUGAGUGGAACUCCGAGUGCAGAGGUGAAAUUCGUAGAUAUUCGGAAGAACACCAGUGGCGAAGGCGGCUCACUGGCCCGGUACUGACGCUGAGGUGCGAAAGCGUGGGGAGCAAACAGG